GGGUUGUGAGGUUAAGCGACUAAGCGUACACGGUGGAUGCCCUGGCAGUCAGAGGCGAUGAAGGACGUGCUAAUCUGCGAUAAGCGUCGGUAAGGUGAUAUGAACCGUUAUAACCGGCGAUUUCCGAAUGGGGAAACCCAGUGUGAUUCGUCACACUAUCAUUAACUGAAUCCAUAGGUUAAUGAGGCGAACCGGGGGAACUGAAACAUCUAAGUACCCCGAGGAAAAGAAAUCAACCGAGAUUCCCCCAGUAGCGGCGAGCGAACGGGGAGGAGCCCAGAGCCUGAAUCAGUGUGUGUGUUAGUGGAAGCGUCU
rnacentral:rRNA from 1 species